GGGGCGUGGGUGGCACUGUGGUCUAAACCACAGAGCCUAGAGCUUGCCAAUCAGAAGGUCGGUGGUUCGAAUCCCUGCGACGGGGUGAGCUCCCGUUGCUCGGUCCCUGCUCCAGCCAACCUAGCAGUUCAAAAGCAUGUCAAGUGCAAGUAGAUAAAUAGGUACUACUCCGGUGGGAAGGUAAACGGUGUUUCCAUGUGCUGCUCUGGUUCGCCAGAAGCGGCUUAGUCAUGCUGGCCACAUGACCCAGAAGCUGUACGCUGGCUCCCUCGGCCAAUAAAGCGAGAUGAGCGUCGCAACCCCAGAGUUGUCCGCGACUGGACCUAAUGGUCAGGGGUCCCUUUACCUUCACCCUUUAAUGAUAUGUAAUGAAGGCGCCAGGUGAGCCUCUCUGGGGAGAGCAUUGCACAAAUGGGGAGCCACUGCAGAAAAGACCUCUUCUCAUGUUGCCAUCCUCUAGACCUCUAGUGGAGGAGGCAUUCAAAGAAGGGCCUCAGAUUAUUGCUAUUUAUUUAUUUUUAUUAUUGUUGUUGGUUCAGAUGCUCUAAAGCACACGUGGGCAGCCUAUGGCUGGGGGAGUGGGCUUCCCCCAUUCUUCCACCCCACCAGAUUUCUUCCAGUUCCUGGAGACUGACGGAGGAGAGAGGGCUCUUCUUGUGCUCAGGUCCUGAUGUCACGAAAGGAAAGGCCGGCUAAAAGGAAAGAGGCAGUUCUGAGUUGGAGAGAGGAGAUAGGCCAUGAAGCCACUGCAAAACACUGCUUGGAACCUAAAAUACUUGGACACUACAGUGGUACCUUGGAAGACUUCAAAUAAAGGAUGGUCCUCUGCUGGCUCUUCAAAUGGAGGACAGCUUUCUAUGAUGUAAGUACCCUACUCUCACAGCCAGACACACCCCAUGAGCUUAAAACAUGUCUUUUCCAAACAGUUAUGUGCGUUCAGUAGACU